rnacentral:tRNA from 1 species
GGCGCCUUAGCUCAGUUGGUUAGAGCAGCGGAAUCAUAAUCCGCGUGUCCGGGGUUCGAAUCCCUGAGGCGCCACCA